UACGGAGGUGGCAAGCGUUGCUCGGAAUCACUGGGCGUAAAGGGCGCGUAGGCGGGGAGGUAAGUCGGGUGUGAAAUCCCUCGGCCCAACCGAGGAACUGCGCCCGAGACUGCUUCUCUUGAGUCCCGGAGAGGAAGAUGGAAUUCCCGGUGUAGCGGUGAAAUGUGUAGAGAUCGGGAGGAACGCCGGUGGCGAAGGCGGUCUUCUGGACGGUGACUGACGCUGAGGCGCGAAAGCGUGGGGAGCAAACGGG
rnacentral:rRNA from 1 species